rnacentral:rRNA from 1 species
AUGGUCCACAGCUCAGCUGGCUGUUGUUUUUGUAAGAAAUUACUUUCUUCAUUAUGCAUUGCUCAUGAUUAUUCUAUCUUGAAUAAACAUUUGGUGUGGCACUUUUCGUAUAAUGAUUUUAUAUCUUUCUGGUCCCAAAUCAUGUCGCUGAUUUACUUUCGUGUUAUUUCAUUACUUUCAAUCAUUUUGGCUCUGAAAAGCAAUAGUAUAGUACAUCCAUGGAGUAUAAUAGGUUUGUUUGUUUCUUCUAUCAAGCCAGUUUUAUUCCAUUUGCAUGAGCAUAUACCAAACUUUUUUCAUGCUCGCUCGUGA